UACGUAGGUGACAAGCGUUGUCCGGAAUUACUGGGUGUAAAGGGAGCGCAGGCGGGAAGCCAAGUCAGCUGUGAAAACUACGGGCUUAACUUGUAGACUGCAGUUGAAACUGGUUUUCUUGAGUGAAGUAGAGGUUGGCGGAAUUCCGAGUGUAGCGGUGAAAUGCGUAGAUAUUCGGAGGAACACCGGUGGCGAAGGCGGCCAACUGGGCUUUAACUGACGCUGAGGCUCGAAAGUGUGGGGAGCAAACAGG
rnacentral:rRNA from 1 species